CGGGGACCCACCUGGAAGCGCCGCGGCGCCGCUGUGGAGCUUCCUGCGGCGGAGGGCGCUCGAGCCUGUGCACGGCGGGGGCCGAGGGCGGCCACGCGGGCGGCGCCUACCCGAGCGGCCGGGCCCGGCGCGAGAGAUAACAAGUUGUGCUAGUACAGCCGUAUAAAUAACUCCUGAAGUCUCAGUGUAACGUGGACUUAGCAGUGAUGACACAUAAAUGCAGUACUAGGCGAAACCCUUCAAAAGAGAGACGUUUAAGAGGUUCUAGUGUUCUUCGAGGCUGAAGCUGAGAACCGGAAGCUUAAGCUCUAUUGUAGAUCAUAGCUUCAUCUGCUCAUAUAAGGAAAAGAAGGAAUAUUUCCACAAUGAUAGAUCUUUGGUUAUACAGGUUUCCCAAUGAGUGGAUCAUGAUGACCGUAUGGUAGGGACUUGCCAUAGUAUGGCUGCUUCCCGAUCUACUCGUGUUACAAGAUCAACAGUGGGGUUAAACGGCUUGGAUGAAUCUUUUUGUGGUAGAACUUUAAGGAAUCGUAGCAUUGCUCACCCAGAAGAGAUCUCUUCUCAUUCUCAAGUACGAUCACGAUCACCAAAGAAGAGACCAGAGCUUGUACCAGUUCAGAAGGGAAGUGCUAGUGGAAGAACUUGUGAUGUGAAACAGCAGAGUGCGCGAGAAGCGUGGGUAAGCCCUAGGAAAAGAAGACUCUCCUCUUCCGAGAAGGAUGACCUAGAAAGGCAUGCCCUAGAGAGCUGUGAAAGAAGGCAGACAGAGCCAGCAGCGCCAGGCCUGAGGAACAUUAAACGCUAUUCUAGAGCUGAAGCCUCAAACAGCUCAGAGGAAGAUUCGCCUGUAAAACCAGACAAGGAGUCGGUAGACCAGAGGACAGUAGUGGACCAUGAUGCAGAGUUUCAAGGGACUAAACGAGCUUGUCGAUGUCUUAUAUUGGAUGAUUGUGAGAAAAGGGAAAUUAAAAAGGUGAAUGUCAGUGAGGAAGGGCCACUUAAUGCUGCGGUAGUAGAAGAAAUCACGGGCUAUUUGACUGUCAAUGGUGUUGACGACAGUGACUCGGCUGUUAUAAACUGUGAUGACUGUCAGCCUGAUGGGGACACUAAACAAAAUAGCACUGGUUCCUAUGUGUUGCAGGAAAAAUCAGUAGCUGGAAAUGGGGAUUCAGAAACGCAGUCUCCAGUGUUCUUUGGUAGUAGGAAGGAGGACAGCUGUAUAGAGCAUCUCGUGCCUUGCACAAAGUCAGAAGUGCAGAUCAAGUCGGAGGACCCCAAACUAGUAACUUCCUGUCUCCCCGUGGAACGUCGGAAUCAGCUGACUGCUGAGCCAGCCGUGGGCCCUGUUUCUGAAAUUCAGUCAUCCUUAAGAGAUUCUGAGGAGGAAGUAGAUGUGGUGGGAGAUAGCGGUGUCUCAAGAGAGCAGUGUGAUGAGAACAGCAGGGACCCUCUGGACACAGAUCCUGAAAGCAUGCCAGUCUCCGCAGAGCCAGAACCGUCCUCUACGCUAGACUGUGCUUCAGCUCAAAUGACACCUUUAUCCGAACCGCAAGAGCACCGGUAUACCCUGAGAACUUCGCCUCGAAGGGCAGCUCCAACCAGAGGUAGUCCCACUAAGAACACAUCUCCUUACAGGGAAAAUGGACAAUUUGAGGAGAGUAAUCUCAGUCCCAGUGAAACGCAUACAACUGUUAGUGAUAAUGUAAGUCAGUCUCCCACAAAUCCUGUUGAAAUUUCUCAAAGUGAAAAGGUUCUGUGUUGUGACUCUCAAAACCAUGGAGGUGAAGGACUAAGUAAGUCACCCUCAGAGGCCACAAUGAAUGUUGGACCCUUGCCGUCUGCCAAAGAGAGUGCCAGUCAGCCCCCUGCGGAAGAGGAGGAUGAUGACCCUGAUGUUUAUUACUUUGAAUCAGAUCAUGUGGCACUGAAACACAACAAAGAUUACCAGAGACUGCUGCAGACCAUUGCUGUCCUUGAGGCUCAGCGUUCUCAAGCAGUCCAAGACCUGGAAAGUUUAGGCAAACACCAGAGAGAAGCACUAAAAAAUCCUAUUGGAUUUGUGGAAAAACUCCAGAAGAAGGCUGAUAUAGGGCUUCCAUACCCACAGAGAGUUGUUCAGUUGCCUGAGAUUGUAUGGGACCAAUAUACCAACAGCCUUGGGAACUUUGAAAGAGAAUUUAAAAAUCGCAAAAGACAUACUAGGAGAGUUAAAUUAGUUUUUGAUAAAGUAGGCUUGCCCACUAGACCAAAAAGUCCUUUAGAUGCUAAGAAGGAUGGAGAGUCCCUUUCUUACUCUGUGUUGCCUUUGAGUGAUGGUCCAGAAGGCUCCCAUAAUCGUCCUCAGAUGAUAAGAGGUCGCCUGUGUGAUGACACCAAACCUGAAACAUUCAACCAGCUGUGGACUGUUGAAGAGCAGAAAAAACUUGAACAACUACUUCUGAAAUACCCUCCUGAAGAAGUAGAGUCUCGGCGGUGGCAGAAGAUUGCAGAUGAACUGGGCAAUCGGACAGCCAAGCAGGUUGCCAGUCGUGUACAGAAGUAUUUCAUAAAGCUAACUAAAGCCGGCAUUCCCGUGCCAGGCCGAACACCUAACUUAUAUAUAUACUCCAAAAAGUCUUCAACAAGCAGACGACAGCACCCCCUUAAUAAGCACCUCUUUAAACCUUCCACUUUCAUGACUUCACAUGAGCCACCUGUGUAUAUGGAUGAAGACGAUGACCGGUCUUGUUUCCAUGACCACAUGAACACUCCUGCUGAGGAGGCAUCGGAUGAGGAAAGCAUUCCUAUCAUGUAUAGGAGCUUGCCUGAAUAUAAAGAACUAUUACAGUUUAAAAAGUUAAAGAAGCAGAAGCUCCAGCAGAUGCAAGCAGAAAGUGGGUUUGUGCAGCAUGUGGGCUUUAAGUGUGAUAACUGUGGUGCAGAACCCAUCCAGGGUGUCCGGUGGCACUGCCAGGACUGUCCCCCAGAAAUGUCUCUGGAUUUCUGUGACUCUUGUUCAGAUUGCCCACAUGAAACAGAUAUUCACAAGGACGAUCACCAGUUAGAGCCUGUGUAUAAGUCAGAGACGUUCUUAGACAGAGACUACUGUGUGUCCCAGGGCACUAGUUAUAGUUAUCUUGACCCCAACUACUUCCCAGCCAACAGAUGACAUGGAAGAGAGUGUCGGCCCUAGUUCUCAUCAGCACACAGCAAUGGCGUCAUUGUUGAAGGUGUGCGCAGUUUGGACACUCACAGCAUGAGCGCUCCCCGAGUGUUCUCGUCAAGUACAGCUCUGCACCGUGUGGCUGUAGAUGAGCAGCUGAGCGUCUCCCUGGUGAGACUCCACCACCAUAAAGCCUUGUAGGUGGUGGUCUGAGAUGGGCGAUGGAAACGCGAGAGCAAAGCCCAAAGGUUUCAGAGACCUCGGUCAUAAGUAUGGUGAUGGAAGACAAGGUAUUCAUAUUAAAUCAGUUUAGUGGCUUUCAGUUUUGUGAAAAUAGUUUUCAGCGCAGAAACUGACUCAUAGACGAAGUUCUAACCAAUGCUGGUGUUUGCUUCUAGGAUGUGUACUCUAAAAGAACUCUGUCCGGUGGUCACUGAUGGCCUUUAGUAGACUGGAGCUGCGUAACGGUUUGAUACCUAACUUUUAAUCACGAUGAACUGUCCUUACCGAGAGCAAAGCAUGAGGUGGCUGUGCUCUGCUCCCGUAACCAGCUCACGGGUGUGAAUGUCGUACAGUUGUCACGAGAUAUAUUUUUAAAGUCAUGUUAUAAAGAUGAUCAUGUGAUGUGUACAGACUGUGGUGAAGAGUGCCAGUGGUAGACUGUGUAAAGUCUGAGUCACAGCGUUAAUCCCUUGAGAUACACAGCCUUCUGCCUCUGUAUUCGGAGUUGUCCGUACAACUCGUCAAAGAAAACUGCCUAAUAUAAAAAUCACAUAUAUGGUGAUCAUUUUCCCUCUUUUGUAGUCUGCACAAGAUCCAUAAAAGAUUGUAUUUUUAUUACUAUUUAAGGAGUAAUUAAACGUAGUCUGCACAGUGAGCAGCGUUCACAGCAUUCUUUUAUACUGCUGGAUUCGUUGUGCAUCAUCUAAAACAUUUGUACGUUUCUUAUCUGUCUGCAGUACGUUCACUUGUCGGGAUGACUGUGAGAAAUAAACUAUGUGGAUAUGUUGUUUAUAUUAUAGAACGCUCGUCGUGGCUUCCUUUCAGCAAGUGUUAGCUAGAAUUCAUCACUUGAAAACCUGUCCAUCUGUGUGCGCUUUCUCUUCUCUACAGAGGGUGAAGAGUGUGAGCUUGCGUCCUGCUGGGGGUGCUAGAGUCUGUCCAGUGUGCUGCACACUGCACGGCAGGGCGCUCACCAGCGUCCACACGGGGUCUCGGGAUGAGUAGUUCUGUCCUGACAAAGUCAAGUCCCGGGUAGAGAAACAGGUGGUUUCCAACAGUUAUCAACCAGGAAGAGAUAGGAUGUUCUAUGGUGAAUUAAGUAUUAUACUAGUCUUGUUUUUAACCUUGUUUGUUUUUUCUGUUUUUAAGUUCAGGGAACAUUAUUUACUAAUUCUUUUCAAUACUUAGCACUAAAGUAUUAAAAUCUACCCUGAAUUUUUAAGUAAGAAAAAUAGAAUUUUAAAUAUGGAAAUGAGAAUUUUAAAUAAUAUAUUGAUAAUGUAUCACUGGUCAUAUUGAUGCAGUCUAUUGUGCUCAGAAAGAAAAGUUGACAGGCUUUUAUCUCUGGGUCAUUGGUGAAGGAGAGACAGCUGGACUAGGUGUCUCUAUACUAAAUGCUCAGUUCACAGCCAGAGGGCUGCCUUCCGUCUGUAAAUAUGCAGGACAGGUACAGCUGUCUGUAUAGAAGUAGUACCAGAUCGCUCUGGAGAGCAGUUUCCAUCCAUCCACAAAUCCCAUGAAGCUUGAAAUACACCUUGGAAGGGGUGUGAGUGAUGCAGCUGUAGUGACAUCAAGAGUGGACACUUGAACGCCUUUCUCAAAGGCCAAGGUUUUAGGCGGAGGUCGUGAUGUGGGUUUUUCCUGUUGAACAGAAGAUUGAUUUAUUUUGGAUUUUUCAUCUCUAAGCACAUCAUCCCAAUGACUUGGUGGGAAUGUUUUCUUGUAAUUUUAUUGGAGGAUUGCAGAGUGGGCGGUGUUCUUCUUUGUGUGUGGACCUUUCAUCUGUCUGCAAGGAAUACUGGCUGCUGACCGCUGUACUUGAGAAGCAGUGUUGUGAAGUGUCUUAGGUUAGAUUUGUGUCGUGGCAUGUGAUGCUCAAGGUGUUUGCUACCAAUAACACACCAAAGCUGAUGUUGGGGAGAGGCACCAAUAGCAAAUGCCGAGCAGCCCUUACAGAGCACAAAGCAAGCAUGUGGCAGGCAGCUCACUGGGUUCUCAAGCCAACGAAGCAGCUUCAUUUAUUGCCCUGUUUUCAUGGGAGACCUAGCCAGAAAGAAACAUAUGCCUCGAGGCAUAUUGUUAGUGUAGUGAUGAGACCUGCCUUUAAGAUUUGUCUGCAUUAGGCUUGGUUUCCUAAGCAGGAACAACCCCCACUGUCAGGUACUCUGUGUACUCGGUGUGGUCUUGAUACCUUUGUUUCUUGUGCAUUGCUAGAGUACAAACCUGGGCCCGUGGCCACAUUCGUGACAGAGGAGAGAGAUCUGUGAGUGGCUGGAGCACACACACAUACAUGCAUCUCCAUUGCCCCCACCUGACCUGUGGUGUCCUUUGACUCCUCUCUCCCUCCUUUUCACUUAGAUCCCAGGACACAGCUGACUGAGGGAUGAGAACAGUAUUUAAAGGGUGGCAGAAAGUGACCUCCUGCUGUACUAGACAAGCCUUGUGUUGUGACAUUUCCCUUACAGCCAUGUGAGAUUUGAUGAAUGAACUUUCUUACUGUGGACAGCACGUUUAAAGCCAUGGUUCUGGGUGCCCUGGAGGAAGCGAGCGUCUCCAGGCAUUCAUUGUCCUUUUUAAGCCUAUACAGUUCUGGUUUUCAGUGGCAGAGUUAGUAACUGCUAUUCAUGUGAUCCCAGAGGAAGCCACAACCUACGGCUUUGCUUACAGGGAGUAUGUAUCUGUUAAAUGGAGUGAUUUCUGAGAGUUGUGUCUCACACAUUGAACUUCUUGAGAACACAGUCCAUGUCUGUGUCUCUAGGCUCUGACCGCUUAGCAGAAUCUCUACAGUAAUUGUUGGUUAUAUGACCCAUUGUUUUGCUAAGUUAAACUUUUUUUCUUUAGAGGUAGUGGGGCCCAGUACAUGAGGUGCCAGUAACUCUAAGGAGGUCCCUUGACAUGCCCUAGAGAACAGCCUCUACAUCCAACUUAACCAGUCAGAUCAUCCAUGGGUGUGACUCCGUCAUGCUCGCUGGUUGAUAGACGUUUUGGGUUCUAUCACAUCUGGGAAAGUGGAGUACCUUUGAUUGAGUUCUAGGAACUAGUUACUGAUUUGCACUAACGGCAUGUAAUGGGGAAAUGAAAGGCACUGAAACCUAUAACAUGCUAUUUCUCAGUAGUAACAGAUGUGUUGGGAACUGCGAUAGAAAAUCCAGGCCUCUGUGGAGCUUAUAGUCCAGCACACAAGACAACAAUGUGCAAAUAAGCAUAAAUAGCCCUUAGUUAAAUAAAAGAAAAACAGCAGUGUGAAGAGCAUUGUCAUCUUAGGUUGAGAAGCCCUCAGUGGCAAGGGUAAUUAGUUUGGAGUGUGGGAACUAGCUGUGUGGAUCAGCUGUAGGAUGCCAGUGGUCAGGGCCAGAGCCAGCCAAGAACUUGGUUUGCUUGGGCAGCUUUGAAGGCAGGUGCUGUGGCUUGAGCAGAUGUGUGAGAGGGAGGGAGGGCACAGACCAGUUCGGGUGUGGUCUUGAGUAUAGGUCAUAGCCAGGGAGUUGACAUUUGUGUUGUGAUGUUGUCCACAUACAUGUACAACCUUGCUGUGAAGAAAUAGUGAUGCUGCUGGGAGCCACUCUCAAGAGCAAUGUAUGUUUUGGCUGUUCUUUGGAAGACUGAUUUGCAUUCCCAGGUACUGAUUUCUUUCUGUCGAAGUUUUCCAAAGUAGCUGCCACCUGAUGGAACCUCGGGCUGGUCUCCCUGCCUGUCUGCAUCCCCAUUUCCUCAUCCAGAGCUGUGGGUGUGGUGUUUGCCAGUGUGUGUUUUGUGUUUGGAGACUGUUUGUCCCUAGAGUUGCUUGUUUAAGCUUUGAUCCUGUAGCAGCACUUGGCAUCUUUGCUCAGAUAUCCAUGUUCCCCUGUCGGGAGUGUGACAGCCUGGGGUAGUGUAAGAAUUCACAGUGUGGAUCUGGGAACAUGAUGCACCCUUUCUGGUAAUAGAGACCUGAUUGUAACCAAAGAAACUUACUUUCUUGUCCAGCACACUCUGGCGUUCCUGUUUAGGAGCCAGUGCUAGGGAAAAAGAAAUAGGAAAAUGACCAUGUAUCAUGAAUACAUUCACAAUUUCUCUGUAAUAGCUCAGAUCUGGUCUGUGGCCAAAGUUCAAACCAUAUAAGUGGAUCAUAAUUUUAAACUAUUACUGUGUUUGCUUCUGUUUGGAAUGAAAGCUGUCAAAGGCUUUCUAGAAUGAUAUGCGUUACAAAUAAAUAGAGAAAGAGUUUUGCUGGUUUCCAUUUAUUUCAUUUGUACAUAACUGUUUUGAGGGAAAAAAAUGAUUUUAAAAAUACAGUUCUGUCCUGGAAAGAUAUCUGUAUUUGCACACUCGUUGAGGAAAAGAAUCAUGCAAACCGAACUGUGUGUUGUCUGGUGACUGAGUGCAAGAUGCAGGUAUUUCAGAAGACAGAAGCAGCUCCAGUUGAACAGCUCCGCACAAAAGACCCACGCCUCGCUGGUGUGGCGCAGGUAUUUACCCAUGGAGCAGGCCCAUGAAACAUACACAAGAGCCACAAGACACCCACGCACUAGCCUGUCCCCCGGUGUCGCUUAGGAUACUGUUCCUUUCUUCUUACUUGGCCAGUAUGUCAGGAAGUAAUCAUCUCGUAUCAGAACUGCAAGAUGGUUUUGUCCAGUGAGUGGAGUAGUCAUCUCUCCUACUUUAAAAUUACUUCCGGUCUCUGACGCUGAGACGUACCACAUCACACAGAGAGUAGCUUGUACAGCUGCUCAUAUUCCAUGUAGCUGGGCUCUCAAAAAUGGAUAAUACUGACUAUCCAAAAAGGCUCCCUUAGAGAAGCUGGGCAAUGCCUUAUUUUGAAACAUUUCUGUCAAGUACUGCUGGCUUGGUGCCUCUCUGUUCCACAGGGCAGUUAAAGUUCCCACCAGAGCCAGUGCAGGAUGACGUGUCCAGGCUUGCCCCAUGCUAAGUAAGUACCCACUUCAGGGAAGAAACAAAGGGGUGAGAAGGAAGCUGUGAUGGAGAAUUAGGGACGCGGUCUCCCUGUGGGACCGGGCAGCACAGGCGGAUCCCACACUGCUCUUCCUAUCCUGACUUUGCUCUGCAGUACAGCCCAGUGACAGAAAAAUGUGUACCAGAGAGGACAGCUGUCUACAGGAGGGAAAGUGGGCAGUCCCAAAGAUACCAUGCAUGGCUUUCAGGUAUCUCUUACGUGAGUCGGGCUGGGAAGGAGACGGCCUGCUAGGAUGGGGGGGGGGGGCACAGGGAAAUGUGUUAAUUAGGGGACGAUUUCAUGUUCUUCUGUCUCUGCUUUCCUUAACAGUUGUGCAUUUUCUCCUUCAGAAAACAGAGUCAAUAGCUGUGCAGAGCUGAAGAAAAACUUGAUCUGGUGUUCCCUCUGCGUUUACCUGUAUUUGAAAGGAAGAGAGAGUUACUAGCCCUCUGGCCUGCUUAUAAAUGGCAUUUUUUUAAGAUAAUAAUGAAACAAGAUUACCUGCUUCUGCUCAGCAAACUUAAAACAGCGUCGUCCUGUUCUCCGCUCCCCACCCGCACCCACAGAGGCUAGAGUGAAAAAUGAUGGCUUCAAAAGCAGGUCCCUCUGGAGCACUAAGAACGGAGAGGAGUGGGGAUCUCUUGAGUCCAAGACCAGCCUGGUCCACAUAGCCAGUUCUAGGCCUGCCAAGGCUACAUAGUGAGACCCAGUAAGUGGAAUUAACCUCUCUAGAUUAACAUGAAAGAGCAUCGCUACACACUCAUUUGCAUGCCCCAAAGCUGACGCCACCAAAUGCUGCCUGGGAUGUGAAACAGCCAGAGCUCUUGAUGAGUGGAAAAUGGCACGGCCACGUGUGAGACCCCAGCAGCUUUAUUCCACACGGAACUCGGAGACAACCAACCUGCCUGUGCGUGUUUACAACAGCUUCCUUGGUGAUUGACAAAACUUGAAAGGUACCAAGAUGUCUUUUAGCAUUUACACAGGCAAGUAGUGGCCCCCAGACAGUGGCGGUCACUCAGCCUAAUACGAAUGAGCUUUCCAUGCACUUGACUAAGUGGCAGAAGCCAGUCUGCAAGGGGCACGUGCUGUAUAGUCAGGCCAUGGCAGUGCAGAAGAGGUGAGGGUUAAGUGGGAGGAUCUGAGUGUAGUUGCUUCACAUUGUAGACUUGUCCAAACAUAGUGAACAACACGAAGGUGUUGAUGCCAACCAUUGCCUCUGGGUGACAAGUACAGGUUCAUCUACUGUGAAAAAUGGAUGGCUGUUGAGUGAUGUUGAUAGUUGAGGUGACUGUAUUUGAGGAUGGGGUAUCUGAGAACUCAUCAGUUUAUCUGACCUAAAUGCUCUAAAGCAGAAAGUUCAUGCAAACAGCAUACUGAGGGCCGUGCUCGGAGUAUUGUUAGAAAUCAAGGGACACCUAAGUCCCUUGCCAUGAGAGCCCUUAGAUCACGGUGGGAGUGUAGCCUGGACCAGAGGGCUCAGGAGCAGGGGCGUGGAGAAGCAGCAGAGACUAGGCCCACAAUGUGCAGAUCCUGGGGCAGAGUUGUUGAAGAUAGAUGAUUCACCUGUGUAGGGAGCCAGCAGCAGAUGGAGCAGGAGGGGUGGUGUCCUGGACACCCAGCCAGCCGCUGCAGAGAAUAAAGCUCCUCUUCAGAAGGUGGCCUGGCCCCAGAAGCUCUGCGGAGGCCAGAGAGAUACUGGUAGCAUGCCUUAGACCUCACAGGCCUUGCUUGCUUAGGAGAGUUGGGGGGGGGGGGGGCUUACCACUUAAAAAGGAACUGAGUUCCUGCACAGUUUUUAGUGAAACUGCAUAUACAUAGGUCAGUGAGCAGACAGGUGACUGGAGCCAUGGUCACCAGGCUCUGUAGAAUAUCCAGCCCCUUGCCAGAGGCUCCGCGCACAGUCGGCACGUUUUCAGAUGAUUUUACCAUCUGCUAAUUGUAAUAGUGGGUUUUACCAUGAUGUCUUCAUAACUGCACACAGCAUCCCUCAAUCAUAGAUAGCUCCCCAGUCUCUCAUCCUGUCUCCCACUGCCUCUCUGUCUUCCAAAAAGGCCCUCUUUUUAAUGGUUUAUUUCUAGAAUCUUGAUUCUGCACACAAGAGAAAACAUGCAAUGUUUGCCUUUUCUGAGCAUGGAGUUAACCUGCUCUCCACUUCUUACAUUUCCCUGGAUACAAGUGAUGGUUUUCCUUUUAUGCUUGGAUAAGCUACAUUUUCUUAACCAGUCUUUUGAUUCCACACUUGAAUAUUGUGGAAUAUACAGCAAUAUAUAGGAAACAUGGAUGCCCAGGAGACAAUUUUCCUGAGAGCUCAGGGCUGUUUGAGGUAACUUAGAGGAACAAUUUUUUUUUUUUAAUUCUUGUUACCUGCCUACAGUAGCUUCAAUUUUGCAACCAGAAAUCAAUUUUUACAUGUUUAAAUAUUCCCAAAAUCUUAUCUAGCAAUAUUUUUAUUCUCUUUUUGAGACAAAGUGUCAUGUAUUCCAGGCUGGCCCCAAACUCCUUUAUGUAACAGAGGAUCUUGCUUCCAUGCCUCCAGCCCUGAAGUGCUGGAAUAAUGGAGCUCCACAUUGUUUAUACACUCAUGACCAGAAACAAAGCUAAGUUAUAUUGAUCUCUUCAUAGGUGAUCAAACCAGAAAGAUAGAUGACUCAUGAGAGAAUAUGGUUGGUUCUCCUGGAGAAGAAUGGGACCCAAGGAGACAGUGGGGCUUGUGAGUGUUUGCUGGCCUGUUCGGUGGUUAUGGGAAUGUUUGUUUUACUCUUCAAAGUGUACGUAUUUUAAAAGUCUGUUUAGGGCCCUCAACUGAAGUGUUUUGUACCAGGGGUCAUCACCCCUGUGCUUAGGUCCCUCACAGCACCUGGCUUCCUCUGUCCCAGUGCCAGCAGAGGACACUGAGGGACGAAGCCGCCAAGAGACAACAGUGCAGUUGUGCAGGGGCACGGCGCUCGUUGGCAGUGAAGUCCAGCAGGAGUUCACACUGGUAGGAGCCAGGCAAGGGGCUGAGGAUUAGGUAUGUCUCGCACAGUCCUGGGAGAGCAGAGACAAACUCUGAGAAUGAUAAAGGUGGCUAGUCAUGCCACGUGUGAUGUUGAAGUAAUGAAGGAAUAGUGACCUGAAGGACAGGUGACUGAAAGAUGACUCAUGUCGUCCAAGCCAAGGAUCAGACCACAAAACUAAAGUCUGAUACUUGUCAACUACAUCAUUAUUUAUCAGAUAGUUUGUUAUUAUUUGUUUUUUUUUUUAGACAGUUUCUCUGUAGUUUUUGGAGUCUGUGGACCAGGCUGGCCGUGAACUCAGGGAGAUCCGCAUGUCUCUGUCUCCUGAGUGCUGGGAUUAAAGGUGUGCAACACCACUGCCCGGCAGUCAGCUAUUUUUAAGUGGCUGAAUGAUUGGACAUGGGUCAAGGAAUGAUGGUGGAAUGGGAGGUGGAGAGUGAGCUACAAGGAAAUGUAGAGAUAAAGGUUCCUGAAGAACAGAGACGUAGGUGUAAAACUUUGCAAAGAACCGACAGCCGCUGAAGUAAAGCAGAGAGCCCUGCACUAGCAACGACAGUCCGUAACCGUGUACCCAAGCCUGCUCUCCCUAUCUCAGGGCUUUGACUGAGCUAACUGGGCUUUGCUUGGAUGCUCUGUAUUAGCCAUGGCUGAGUUCUUUUUUUUUUUUUUUUUUUUUUUUUUUGAGACAGGGUCUCACUAUGUCAACUUAGGCUGAAACUAUGUAGACCAGACUGGCCUGUGUGACGGGAUCAAAAGUGUUUACCACCAGGCGUCUGUCAUGUACAGAUGAGUAUGGGGUACACACUACCCCUGUGUUCCUGCAGUAACCAAGUACUGGAAUGAAUGCAGGUGUGCACCACUAUGCUGUGUUUAUUCAGGGCCGGUGAGAUAGCAGUAGGGCCCCCGACAAUGGGAUCUUGCAGAAGGUCGGUAGGUAGGUCAAGUCUGAAUACAGUGUCAGCAAGUGGGAAUUUACAGGCAAGAAGCAAAGUGGAGGCCAGUAAGGAUAUUACCAAGCGGCAGCAAGCGCCAGCUAACCCCACCUAACGGUUCCUGCAGUAGACAAGCUGGGGGAACGCCACCUGUGGUGGGCUGUGGUUAUAAUCUUAGCACUGGCGAGGUAGGGGCAGGAAGGUCAGGAGUUCAAGGCCAGUUUCCCAUAGAAUGUCACAGACAGGGACAUAACUCUAGGAGGUGAUGGGCAUGGGGUAGUGCUGAUUUAGUGGUCUUUGCUAAAACUGAUUUAUAUAUGAAGCCUACAGAUGGGCUUGGAAUGUUCUAGAGCUUGACCAAAGUUUGAGCCAGAGAGAAUCAUCAUCAUCAUCCAGUUGUUCCUGAGGACGAGAUAUCUCUCAGCACUGUGUUAUCUCUGGAGUCUGGCAGGUAGGCUCAACACAGAACAGCUGGCCAAGAGAGCAUGUUUCCCCUCCUCCCACACAGGCUUCUGGAUCUUCCUGGUGGGAGACCCUGGGCUUCUGUGGGGCUAAGGAAUGCUCUCAUGGGAGCAGGAGAUCCCUUUCCACACAGAAAGCCAUUGAGUGCCUGCUGUGAAGGACAGUGCUCGGGGAUUCCUGGCCAAUCAGACUUGAGCUGGGGGGUGGGAGGCGGUGCUAGCUUCCGUGUAUGGCCUUCAUUUUGCAACAAGGCUUAAAUACAAGGAUUUCUAUCAUCUAUCCAUCUAUCCUCUGUCUAUCUAUGGAAACGCUUCCCCAGAGACUCAUGCUAUGGUCUUUGCUUCUGCAAAGUCUGAAUGUCAGAAAGUUUAAAAACUAGAGAAACAGGCUUUCCCAGGAGAAAGUGGCUUUUGGCUGUGGUAAGAGGGCAACCCAUUCACAGCUGGCCAGCCUCAUUAGGCUGGUGAGACACCCCAAGUGCAGCCUCUGUUUCCUAUUGGCAGGCGAGGGUUGACCCAGAGCCUCUGUCCUCUCCAUUUCUCCCCGUCCUUCCCUCUGCCUGUUCAUCUCAGUUCCCGUAGAGUAAUUUAGGUGAAAUAUAAGGGGCUCUUCUAUUUCUGCACAGGAAUGAGGCAGACCAACUUACAUAUGUAGAACCACGUUUUGUGGGGUGCUUUGAGACAAGGAGUCACAUAGCCUAAGUUGGCCUCGAACUUGCUAUGCAUCUGAGGCUGGCCUUGAACCAUACCUCCUGAGUGCCCGGGCUUCAGCAUACUUAGUCAAUUCUAAGGUCCAUUUUUGGUGCUUGCAGAUUUAGCACAUUUACACAGUAAGCUAAGAAGAUGCCCGAGUUCCUUGUCCUCUGAGAUCAGAAAAGGAUUUAUGGGAUUAGCAGACAUGAGACUGCAGCCUCCACCACAUUGCGCAUGGUCCCCAUGACUGCAGCAACUCGCUGUUCUCAGUCAAAAGGAAUUUCAUGAUCCACUUCACCCCAAAGACUCCAGUGCUGAGCCUGCAGUUAAACUGCGAUGUCCUGGUGUGUAGUAGAACACUGGAACGACAGGUCUGCCUAUAAGGCUCUGAAACUUGAUAGCCCUGCGGCGAGGGAUGUCCUCAUCAGUGUUGAAGACAUUGGAUUUUGUUGUUUGUUUUUAAUCAGAGCUAGUGCUGGGAAGUGAGGAGGGUGACCUUGGUGGCUGCCUGUUCUCUUUGUUCUUUCUCUUUGCUUUUGUCUGGGGAUGUAAUGUAUAAUUGUGAAGCUGGUGGUCCUGAGUGACGUGGGCUUCGGGAACCAACCCAGUGUCAGAGUGGACUAGAGUUAGUGUCUGCCGCAUCACUUCCUCUGCUGACUGCCUGUGACCACGCCCACCACCACCACCAUGCCCAGGCCAUGUUCUGUAACCACACCCACCACCAUGCCCAGGCCACCACCGUGUUGUAUGCAGUCCUGCUCUGGAGUGUUCAUCCCGAUUGGGCGGUGGAACUCAGAAGUGGGUUUGCUAUAUUUUUUAAAAAUGAGCAUGAUUAAAACUGGAGGGGAAAACUUUUCUCCACCAAGAAUCAUAAACUAACAGGCUGGAAGAAUUUCCACAGCUGCUGCCAGCACUUCCUAUCAGAAAGACCCGUAAGGAGGACAACUGGCCUGGGACUUUCCACCACCCAGACAAGUGCUUCCAGCGAUACUUGGUCAGUGUUGGCACUUUUCACAAGUGCUUCGUUUCCAGCUGCUGGCUUAGCAAAUUCCCCCUCUGUGGGCUAGCUUAUCCUUCUGUGGGGCUCUGCCCUGAAGCCUGCACAUCCCAGGUAGAGCAUGGUGAUUGAUGGCAGCUGCCUGCAGAACCCAGACGGAAGGGAGGAAGCUGCGGUGUGGUCCCCCUUCACAUCCUAAGACAGGAAGCAGAAGCUGUGCAUCAUUCCCAUGUCACUCCUACAUCCUAGGCGUAGACUGUGCUCUAAGAGCUGAACACAGAGGACCCGGCAAGGCAGUGGAGCCAAGCCCUGUCUCCCUGUUCUCUGGUGUCCGUUUUCAAUACUGAAAAAGUCGAUGAUAAAUGUUACUUCUCUGGAUCCAGAUGCCGCAUCCCCAACAAGGGGGAAGCCUGGGAACCUGAUGUCUUGGAGAGCAGCACAGAAUUGUAAGGACUGCACAGGUUUCUCUGAGAACCCUGUUAGUUCAUUGUCAACGAGCCGUUCAUCUGGGAGUCUGCAGGCUUAGAUUCAGAUAAUUCAAGACAGAGAGGAAGAAACACAGAGGUGGGGGGGAUUUCCUGAUCCUGAAAUGCGAUAAACUGAAUUCUGUCUGGCCUUCCCCAGUCUCAGACUGAAGUGGAGGGAGUUCCCUUCUACCUGGAGAAUCCCUGGGCUGUUCCAGGCAGCACCAAGCGGGGAAGCUUCCUAGGGACUUUAGCCUUACAAAGGUUCUUGCAGCCCUAAAUUUCUUUAAAUUAUUUUUAUUCCUAUGUAUAGAUGGUCGUAUUGCCUCCAUGUAUAUCUGUGCACCAAGUACAUACAGUGCCCUUGGGGGACAGAAGAGGGUGUGAGAUUCCCUGGGACUCUUUAAGAAAUGAUUGUGUCAUGGUGUGGGUGCUGGGAAUUGAACCCAGGUCCUCUGGAAGAGCAGCAAGAGCUCUUCGGGGAGGCACUCGCUUCCACCUUCAGCCCUGAGUUUUACUCCUGUGCACUCACGUGAUACCUUCAUGUUUAUUUUACUAAUUUUUUCAUCUUAUUCAUUGGUGGGUGCAUGCACGCCAGUGUGCAGAGCAGAGGGGGGCAACUCAUGGGGUUGUGCUGUGGGAAUUUCCUUCCAGUGUGUGGGUCCUGGGACCUGAACUCAGGUCUUCAGGCUUGGUGGCAGACACCUUUGCUCACAGCUCAUCAGCCUGUUUGUUUUUUUAAAGGUGUAAGUCUUUGUUGUUUAAUGGCAACAAGUGGUUACAGGAAACACUUGAGUUUCAACUUUCUGGAUUGCGGAAGAGGCACUUUCUCAACCUUUCUUACUAAGGGCAUAGGAUUCUGAAAAGUGGGGGCAUAGAUAGGUUUAGGACUUGCUCUUGGGGUGGAGAGAUGGCCCAGCAGUUAAGAGCACUGGCUGCUCUUCCAGAGGACCCGGGUUCGGUUCCCAGCACCCACAUGGUAGCUCACAACUGUAACUCCAGUUCCAGGGUAUCUGACACCUUCACACCCAUGCACAUAAUAAAGUUAAAUUUUAAAAAAUCGCUCUCAAUAGUUUUACCCCAGGCCUCAGAGAGCAGUUUGCUAGGAGCUGACUGAUAACUGCCAUCCUGGGGAUUGUACCCUCGUGCCCUUCCCAUGUUUCCUCGGCCCCCAGUAGCUGCCCUGCACCCUACCUUCUGUGCUUUUCUCUGGAGGACAGGGGAGUGAAUUGCAGAAGGAAGCCCCAUAGUGGCUCCGUUUUUUGAUAGAUUUCUGCACCUCUCUCCUUGACCCUUAAUGUCACCGACAAGUGAGUGACCCGCCCUCCUGACCUUGUGGCCUCUCCUUUGGCUCUACUGUUCCUUUUCCUCUACUGACUUCUUGGUGAUGUCCCUAGACCAUGUUGCUUCAUCCUCGGGCUGCGUGUAACUGACCUUACACCCUGUGCUCUCUGCCUGCCCUACUAAAACCCUAAGCGCUGUAGGUUCAAACUACAUCAAACCACCAUAUGGUUAGACCAGGCACAAGUUACAGAAUCUGGGAAAGAACGGGGACUGGGGAGUGUGCCAAGUAUGUGAUAUUAAUGGUGGCCAUGUGGACUGCACUGUGGCAUUGCAUGACGUCAUGUGCCAGCCUUCCCUCCCAUCAUAGCCCCAUGUAUGAUGUCAUGUGCCAGCUUCCCCCCACCCCCCCAGCCCCACCGACUGGCCUGGCCUCAUGUGCUUCUUCUCCCCCAAGGUACAAAGGAGCCAAGUGCCAAUCAAGCCCUGUGUGAACUCCAGAACCCAAAGGUGUCAAAUCCAGGACCUGGAACAGGCCUGCCCUUGGGUCAUCCUGUUCACCUGAGGUCUGGCACCACCUACAGUUAGUGCUCGAGCUCUCGCCUAAGCUUGCCCCUCCCUUUUUCUUUUUACAGUACUGGAAAUGGAAUCCAGGCCUCAUGCGUGUCAGCUGCCUGCAAAGGAACGAGCGCGCGGCCCAUGUGAAGACGAGCCUCACCUUCCAUAGCUGUGUCUUUGUCUCGUAGUAGGCGAUGACGGGGAUGGAUGCUCGGUGGUAGGCCUCCAGGCGCUUGGCAAUGGUCCUGGCAGUGUCCUCCCCUCGCUGGCUGCUCUGGCUUCUCUGCAGGAGGCGGUUGGUCAUGGUGUCCGCCGAGCAGUCCAUGCAGAUCACCAAGUGUGGCUCUCCAAUCUGGGGCGAAGCAGCAGAGCAUAGCCGGGUCAGCUGGGAUUCUAGGGAAGGUCUGGGGGACCCUUGCAUUCCUGGGGCUCUUGGUGCCUCAAGCGCCCAGCAUCAACCAUACUGUGGUAGAGAUGGGACUGGAUCUCGAGGCUUCUCACUUCCAGAGCAAGCCUCGCUGCCUGCUGCCUCAGAGCUCUCUCCACGUAACCAGCAAUUAUAAAUGUCCCCGUAUAGCCAGUCAGUCUUUACACCAAGGGGAAGGGGGUAUGUGCACAUGAUCAUGUGCAAGUGCAUGUGUGUAAUAUGUAUGUGCGUGCAAGUGUUUGCAUGCAAAGGUCUCCCUGACCUGGUAAUUCCUUCUUCAUGCCCCCAGGGUGUCUUAUUCCAGCCACCAAGAAUGACCUGUGCUGGGUGUGUGUUACCCGGAGACAGGGGAACACAGUGACUGAAAGCAGGGACAGACUGGAGUCAGGCUGUUAGGACCAAAGUCUGGUGUAGCAGGUUUCAAAGUGGACUUCGUCCACCCCUGCCACCUUUCACCUAAAAGCUGCCCUUCCCCUGAGAUACGGAGCCCAGCCUUCUGCGCCCAUGAGUCUGUGCCCUGUGAUUCUUGAGCAGUGGAAGGGGGUAGGAAGGACGCUACCUACUUUUCGGGGUGAGGUAAGGGCAUCCUAAACUGUUUCCACGCUUGAGGCCCCAUUGUGCCUGAGUAAUUUUUAUACUACCCCUGUGGUACAAAUAUAUAAAAUAGCCAUACAAAUUAAACAUUUGCUGAUAAUACAUUAUGAAGAAAUUAAUUCUUAAACAUUUGGUAUAAACUGCACUGUCUGGUCAUGUGUAAUACUUAAUAUAGGGGAAACUAGCUACUUUCUAUGAUGUUCAACUACUCUGACAUUGCCAAGUAGUGAGGAAGUCUCGGCUAGCCACCAGGAGAGGCCACGUGAGGCUAGUCAGCUGCCAACACAUGCCCAGCUUUCCCCAGUAGCUGACUGUUACAUUCCCAGGGACCUCAUGGGAGGACCCCUCCCCCAGCAGAGCCCAGCAAACUGCACAACUAUGAGAGAUGAAAACAAAUUGUUCUUUUAAACCACCUGACUGAAUCAUUUACUAGAAAUCCCACCCAUCAUCUCUGCAUCUUGAACCCCAUGAGGACGGUGAGACCACCACAGGCUGCCUGGAAGGGUUGAAUGCAAUGCUGCAGGUGCGCUGCUGGGCACGCAGCAGCAGAAUCUGCAAGGCGGUAGCUGCUCUGCUUUCUUCUGGGGUUGAACUCCCACCUCAGUGUGCAGGGCUUACAGACUCUGCUUCCAGUCCCAAGUCUCACAAACAGAAGGAAUGUCCCACAAAUGGAUGACGGUGACCCCCUGUGAGUCCAGCCUCCCCAUCUCCCCAUGAAUCUCCUAAACUGUCCUGUUGUGUGGUGGCCCCAAAACUGUGAGCCUAUUUCCACCUUGUGUGAAGGUCAGAGAGUUGGAGGUUGCUCAAAACCAUUGACAACAACCAGGGCUGCACAUCCUGACCAGGAUGUGGUGACUUGGUCCUUUUGACAUUAAGAUGGCUCAUACAGGUAGACCCACUCCACCCUGACAGAUGGUCGGGAUACACAAGCAUACUUCUGCUCCUUCUGUAACUGGAGGUUUAACCUGGGGAGUGGCUGCCUUCAGGAUACUUGGGCGACCUUACUGCCUAAACAACACAAUGCUAAUUACUUGAUGUCUCAAAGUGUUGAAACAAUGAACUGUUCGAGUUGUCCUUUGAAUCAUGUUAAAGAUACUUGUUGUCUUCCUUUCCCUUUUGUAUUGAGUAUAGAAGUAUAAGGAAAAUUAAACAUGGGCAAUUUCAGUAUUCACUGGAACCCCCUCCUGAUACUA